rnacentral:piRNA from 3 species
CCUAAGGAGGGGUGAACCGGCCCAGGUCGG